AGUGAACGCUGGCGGUAGGCCUAACACAUGCAAGUCGAACGGCAGCACAGUAAGAGCUUGCUCUUACGGGUGGCGAGUGGCGGACGGGUGAGGAAUACAUCGGAAUCUACUUUUUCGUGGGGGAUAACGUAGGGAAACUUACGCUAAUACCGCAUACGACCUACGGGUGAAAGCAGGGGAUCUUCGGACCUUGCGCGAUUGAAUGAGCCGAUGUCGGAUUAGCUAGUUGGCGGGGUAAAGGCCCACCAAGGCGACGAUCCGUAGCUGGUCUGAGAGGAUGAUCGGCGGCAUUGGAACUGAGACACGGUCCAGACUCCUACGAGAGGCAGCAGUGGGGAAUAUUAGACAAUAGGCGCAAGCCUGAUCCAGCCAUACCGCGUGGGUGAAGAAGGCCUUCGGGUUGUAAAGCCCUUUUGUUGGGAAAGAAAAGCAGCAGGUUAAUACCCCGCUGUUCUGACGGUACCCAAAGAAUAAGCACCGGCUAACUUCGUG
rnacentral:rRNA from 1 species